GCCAGAUCAAAAGCUUCCAAAACAUUUCCCCCAAAUUUCUCUAUCUGCAUUUUCAAAUUUCUCUCAACUUUUCCUCUCAUCUGCGUUCUCUCCUGAGUGGUGUAGAUGAAUCGAAGAUAACAAUCAAAGGGAAGAUGACGAUCGACGUUAAAUUGAAGGUUCAGUAGGUCUGGCCGGUCUUUCGUCACCCUUGGAGAGUUGUUCAUCUCUCUUGGUCGUGUUUUGGCCAUCCGAGAAGCAGUGGUCUAUUAGCCUUCAAUGGGUGCUGAAGAGUUCUAGGGCUUGAUGGUGCUUUUGUAGAGAAACUGACUAGCAAUAUGUGGAAAACGACACCAAUCUGUGUUUUUGGGUGGUGUUUUGAUGCUACAAAAAGCAGAAUUUUGAGACCUUAAGAAGCUGUACGUUUUUUUGCGAAUCUUUAUUAUAACUAUUUAUAUCGAGAAAUUAAAGAUUACAAGUAAAGGUCAACUACCGACAUCUAUUUUGAAAUCACGGGCUGCGAAUUUUCUAGAAUGUGCUCGUGUUGUGAUACCGUGCAAGACGGAGUUGUAGCUGACCCUGGUAAUACUGAAAAUGAGGUCAGUGAGGUGAGUGAUCUGCCAGCAUUUCGUGAGUAUUCUGUUGAACAACUAAGAACGGCUACAUCUGGAUUUUCUAUCGAAAAUAUUGUGUCUUGAACAUGGAGAAAAAGCCCCUAAUGUGGUCUACAAAGGGAAGUUGGCAAAUCAAAGAAGAAUUGUUGUCAAACGGUUUAAUAGAUCUGCUUGGCCUGAUGCUAGGCAGUUUCUGG